GGAGGGAGCGCAGGUUCCCAGGCUGUGUCCCCUGGCGCCCUGGCAUCCGGGGCCUGCGCUGUUGGAAUCGUGUUCCCAGGGCCUGGCAGCCCCCU
rnacentral:pre_miRNA from 1 species